ACUCGCUGACGGAUUUGGACUUGGAGC
rnacentral:piRNA from 1 species